UCAGUGCUUAGGAAGGAACCCAGGUCCCCAUCAUGCUAGACAAAUGCUCUGCCACUGAGCUACACUUCCCCAGAGUUGUUUUUUAAUAGGAGAAAGAAGAUCCCCUAGAGUUCUCUGCCAGUAAAGACUCCAAAGAAUUACCUCAUCAUGGCCCACAGUGGUGGGGCUACGGGGCCAGGUUCAGGCAAAAAUUUAAGACAGGGGAAGUGAAUAAAUGUCAAAAUAAAGGAAGUAAAACUACAUACCCAAGCUAAAGAAAACAUGCACCCCAGCUAUGGAAUUCUGAGACAUAACUCCAUUUUGGCCUCUGCUCACAACUGAGACCUCAACGAUCCAGUGAUGUUGUGACUCUCCAGGACAAGAAACAUCCUGGGAGCUGAAAACAUCCUGCGAAGAACAAACAUCUACUCAGUUCCUCCUUGUUCUUGGAUUGUUACAUCUUAUUUACACAGGCUGUACUGAACUCUCUGCAAGUCAUUUGUUACAUUUGUUUCUCCCAAUGUACUGAAUAAAAGGUGUGGUAAGCUGGGGUCUUUCGUUUUUGCUGCCCAGAGCAGCAGUGAUCAGACCCAAAGCUCAGCCUCUCAGUCUCAUUUUUCUACAUUUCCUGUAAUUUGCCGUGUGCUGCCGUGGCUCACAGGAGACUAGGACUUACUGCAGAGGUUCUAGUAACGUCCCCUUUCCCUGUUCCCUACAGUAGCUGAAAAGGAGUGGGCUCCAGGAAGGUUUACAAGAGGGCUUAGUUUGCAGAGUCCUUUGAGUGUCCAUCAAGGAGUA
rnacentral:lncRNA from 1 species